rnacentral:rRNA from 1 species
AACGAACGCUGGCGGCGCGCCUAAUACAUGCAAGUCGAGCGAGAAGGUGUAGCAAUACACUUGUAAAGCGGCGAACGGGUGAGGAAUACAUGGGUAAUCUACCAUCGAGUGGGGAAUAACCAACCGAAAGGUUGGCUAAUACCGCGUACGCCUCCGGAUCUUCGGGUUCGGAGGGAAAGCUGCACUGUGAGUGUAGCGCUCUUUGAUGAGCUCAUGUCCUAUCAGCUUGUUGGUAGGGUAACGGCCUACCAAGGCUUUGACGGGUAGCUGGUCUGAGAGGACGAUCAGCCACACUGGCACUGCGACACGGGCCAGACUCCUACGGGAGGCAGCAGUAAGGAAUAUUGCGCAAUGGGCGAAAGCCUGACGCAGCGACGCCGCGUGGGGGAUGAAGGUCUUCGGAUUGUAAACCCCUUUCGGGAGGGAAGAUGGAGCGAGCAAUCGUUCGGACGGUACCUCCAGAAGCAGCCACGGCCAACUUCGUGCCAGC